rnacentral:rRNA from 1 species
CCUACGGGAGGCAGCAGUGAGGAAUAUUGGUCAAUGGACGAGAGUCUGAACCAGCCAAGUAGCGUGAAGGAUGACUGCCCUAUGGGUUGUAAACUUCUUUUAUAUGGGAAUAAAAUGUUCCACGUGUGGGAUUUUGUAUGUACCAUAUGAAUAAGGAUCGGCUAACUCCGUGCCAGCAGCCGCGGUAAUACGGAGGAUCCGAGCGUUAUCCGGAUUUAUUUGGUUUAAAGUGAGCGUAGGUGGAUUGUUAAGUCAGUUGUGAAAGUGUGCGGCUCAACCGUAAAAUUGCAGUUGAAACUGGCAGUCUUGAGUACAGUAGAGGUGGGCGGAAUUCGUGGUGUAGCGGUGAAAUGCUUAGAUAUCACGAAGAAUGCCGAUUGCGAAGGCAGCUCACUGGACUGCAACUGACACUGAGGCUCGAAAGUGUGGGUAUCAAACAGGAUUAGAUACCCGUGUAGUC